GGCUAGAAAAACGUCGGAUAUCCCAGAGCUUGAUGGUCUGGUCUUUGGAGUUGGAGAUGAGAUAUCGGGCAUCACCCUGUGAAUCCCAGGAUGGAUAAGGAGGAUCAGAGCCCCCUUCUCUCAGUUGAGGGAAAGCCCUGCUCCUUGUGGAAUGGUGCUGAUCUUGCAAACAUGGCUAAAGGAGGAGCUUGGCGAGUUGCCACACCUGUUUGCUUUGAUACCACAACUCAGUCGCCUGGCUGUGCGGUCCUGCCUCUGCACCCACCUUACUGUCAAUGAAAGUGAUGCCGUCCUGAUGCCCGGCGAGCGCACCCACAGGCUUGGGGUCAUCUUCCCUCAUGGUGCGUCGAUCCCACACUUUGCAGAUGGCAUCGUCACCCCCGGAGAACAGGAUUUGGGAGCUGACAUCAGCAAAGGCCACCGCAUUCACAUCAUCCUCAUGGGACUCAAUCUAGGGGAGAAAGGGGCCAGGAUGUUUACAACCUCUUUCUAGGUCUUCCAACAAGCCAAGGACUGGGAGGCAGAGGCUUGAAAUCUCGGGGGCAAUACCUGAAGGGUCCGCCGGUUCUGUUCUCGAUCAAAGACGUACAGGCAGCCAUCAUUGGCCCUGAAGGGGAAGGGAUAAAGAGGGCUUUGGAGCCAGGACCGAGAGGACCCAUGCUACGUGUGCUCUGGAGAUACUGUGUCUCGAAGUCCCACUAAGGGGCAAGCCCUUGUGUCUUCUUAUACAGGAGGUGGGAGAAGAGUUAGCUGUGACCUCCCAUCUCGUGCUGGAGAAAUGGUGCUUGAGAAGUAAAGCCACUCAUAAAUCUCG